CCCUUAGAUGUUCUGGGCCGCACACGCGCUACACUGAAGGAGGCAGCGUGUACUCCUGGAUCGAAAGAUUUGGGUAACCCGCGAAUCUCCUUCGUGCUAGGGAUUGAGGUUUGCAAUUAUCCUUCAUGAACGAGGAAUUCCCAGUAAGUGCAAGUCAUAAGCUUGCGCUGACUACGUCCCUGCCCUUUGUACACACCGCCCGUCGCUACUACCGAUUGAAUGAUUUAGUGAGGACUUCGGACUGGGACCGAUGCGGCUUUCGGGCUGCGUCGGUAUUCUGGAAAGAUGUCCAGACUGUAUCAUUUAGAGGAAGUAAAAGUCGUAACA
rnacentral:rRNA from 1 species